rnacentral:rRNA from 1 species
CCUACGGGCGGCAGCAGUGAGGAAUAUUGGUCAAUGGACGAGAGUCUGAACCAGCCAAGUAGCGUGAAGGAUGACUGCCCUAUGGGUUGUAAACUUCUUUUAUAAAGGAAUAAAACGAGGCACGUGUGCCUUUUUGCAUGUACUUUAUGAAUAAGGAUCGGCUAACUCCGGUCCAGCAGCCGCGGUAAUACGGAGGGUCCGAGCGUUAGCCGGAUUUAGUUGGUUUAAAGGGAGCGUAGAUGGGUUGUUAAGUCAGUUGUGAAAGUUUGCGGCUCAACCUUAAAAUUGCAAUUGAUACUGGCAGGCUUGAGUACAGUUGAGGUAGGCGGAAUUCGUGGUGUAGCGGUGAAAUGCUUAGAGAUCACGAAGAACCCCGAUUGCGAAGGCAGCUUACUAAGCUGGCACUGACAUUGAUGCGCGAAAGUGUGGGUAUCAAACAGGAUUAGAUACCCCAGUAGUC